UACGGGGGGGGCAAGCGUUGUUCGGAAUUACUGGGCGUAAAGGGCUCGUAGGCGGCCAACUAAGUCAGACGUGAAAUCCCUCGGCUUAACCGGGGAACUGCGUCUGAUACUGGAUGGCUUGAAUCCGGGAGAGGGAUGCGGAAUUCCAGGUGUAGCGGUGAAAUGCGUAGAUAUCUGGAGGAACACCGGUGGCGAAGGCGCCGCUCUGGGACGUGACUGACGCUGAGGAGCGAAAGCGUGGGUAGCAAACAGG
rnacentral:rRNA from 1 species